rnacentral:ncRNA from 1 species
AAAGUUGCUGCAGUUAAAAAGCAUAUAGUUGGAUCUCGGGGCCGCCUGUCCCAGCCCCUGCCUCUCGGUGCCCCCUUGAUGCGCGUCCUGAGUGUCCUGUGUGGUCCAAAGCGUUUACUUUGGAAAAAAUUGUGUUCAAAGUAGGCCCAGUCACUUGAAUACCUCAGCUAGGGUUAAUGGAAUAGGACUUUGGUUCUAUUUUGUGGGUUUUUCUUCUGAACUGGGGCCAUGAUAAAGAGGGACGGCCGGGGGCAUUCGUAUUAUGCUGCUAGAGGUGAAAUUCUUAGACCGGUGCAAGAUGGACAAAAGUGAAAGCUUUUGCCAAGAAUGUUUUCAUUAAUCAAGAACAAAAGUUGGCGGUCCGAAGACAAUCAGAUACCUUUGUAUUUCCGACCAUAAACGAUGCCAACUUGCGAUCCGGCGGCGUUAUUCCCAUAACCUGCCGGGUAGCGUCCGGGAAACCAAAGUCUUUGGGUUCUG